rnacentral:misc_RNA from 1 species
UUUCCGUAGGUGAACCUGCGGAAGGAUCAUUAUUGUAUAACCUAACUCCGAACCCUUUCGUUAACCCUACAGGUCGUGCACGCCCGAGUGCCCUCACACACAUCCAUCUCCCCCAUUUGUACACCACCGCUUGGAUCCCCCCUUGGCUUGUGCGGAGGCUAGCUUAACUGUUCAAACAUACUUUGUAUGCACUGUUGCAUGUAUUUUUUGUUUUUGCGAUCGCUCAAUCAAUACAACUUUCACCAACUGAUCUCUUUGCCCUCGCAUCGAUUAAGAACC